rnacentral:rRNA from 1 species
AAUGAACGUUGGCGGCGUGGAUUAGGCAUGCAAGUCGAGCGCUCACCCGCAAGGGUGGGAGCGGCGAAAGGGAGAGUAACGCGUGGGUAUCUGCCCUCGGGACUGGGAUAGCUGCGGGAAACUGCAGGUAAUACCAGAUGACGUCCCCGGACCAAAGGUGUGAUUCCGCCUGAGGAUGAGCCCGCGUCCUAUUAGCUAGUUGGUGGGGUAAUGGCCUACCAAGGCAAUGAUGGGUACUGGGUGUGAGAGCACGACCCAGCACACUGGGACUGAGACCCUGCCCAGACCCCUACGGGUGGCUGCAGUCGAGAAUCUUCGGCAAUGGGCGCAAGCCUGACCGAGCGACGCCGCGUGUGGGAUGAAGGCCUUCGGGUUGUAAACCACUGUUAGAGGGGAUGAAAUGCAGGUGGGUUCUCCCAUCUGUUUGACAUAGCCUCAGAGGAAGGACGGGCUAAGUUCGUGCCAGCCGCCGCAGUAAGAC